GAUCAGACUCCAGCCAAUGGUGGAGUGUGGCAACCAGCGGCGGCACCGUGACCAACAGCGGCGGGAAUCCCAGAGGAGAGAGAGGCUCUGGCGAAAGAGCGAGUAGAGAGAAAAAGAAGUGAUUCCUAGUAACUCAUUAGACGGAUUAACAACAAUUUCUAUACAACUACCAUAAGAAGGAAUGGGACUGCUGCUCGCUCUCUUCCUGGAGAAGGGGAUGUGGAAUCAGCUAGCUGCUCUUGCUGUCUUUCUUGGGAAGAAUCCCAGUAAAGCUAUCGCAUUAAAUCCGCAACGUGAAGUAUGCUCUUUCAUAAGAUGCUUUUCAUUGCAUUUCUUUGACGGUUGCUGAACCUAUGUUCAUGUUUAUUUUCUUGUGAAUUUAUUUAUUAAUAAAAAGGUUUUCUUUUAAAAAUAAUAACAAUAAUAAUUUUUUAAAAAAUAAAAUAAAUUAAAAAAAAAAAACCUUACAAAAAAGUUGGAUCAUACCUUUUGUGCCACUUCCAAUUCCUAUUUUAAUAGGAAUGGGACUCCUACUUUUUCCGACGGCAACAAAAAAUCUUCGUCGUAUGUGGGCUUUUCCCAAUAUUUUAUUGUUAAGUAUAGUUAUGAUUUUUUCGGUCGAUCUGUCUAUUCAGCAAAUAAAUAGAAGUUCUAUCUAUCAAUAUGGAUGGUCUUAAUUUGAUAUGAAAUUUUUUUUUAUUUUUUAUAUUUUUUCAAAAAAAAAGUUAAAUUAUGUAUCGAAAGAGUAGUAUAAGAGAAGGGCAUUUCCAAUUUAAUCUUAGCUAUCGUGGGCCCAUCUCAGGCGUCACAAACUUUUUUUUCUUUUCUUACCAGAGGCUAUUAACAAUAUUUAUGUUAUGAAAGAGUACGAAAAAAAAAA